CAUGAACCUGGGAGGCGAAGCUUACAGUGAGCCGACUUUGCGCCACUGCACUCCAGCCUGGGCAACAGACCGACACUCUGUCUCAAAAAUAAUAAUAAUAAUAAUAAAAUACAAGUUUUAUUUUUAUGUAGGAGUAACUGGCUCAGGAUUCCCCUUUGAUUUUGGACGUAACCCCUACAAAGGAAAGCGCCCUUUGAAAGACAUAAUUGGAUCGUACAAAAAUCGUCACAGCAGUGGUGACCCUUCAAGUGAAGGCACAUCAGGCAGUGGCAGCGUCAGCAUCAGGAAGCCAGCCUCCGAAAUGCAACUGCAGGUCCAGAGCCAGCAGGAAGAGCUGGAACAGUUAAAGAAAGACCUGUCCAGUCAGAAGGAGCUUGUUCGACUGCUCCAGCAGACAGUCCGGUCAUCCCAGUAUGACAAGUAUUUCACAAGCAGCCGGCUCUGUGAGGGGGUCCCAAAGGACACGCUCGAGCUUCUGCACCAAAAGGAUGAUCAGAUUCUGGGCCUUA
rnacentral:sRNA from 1 species